AUCUAGACUCACCACAGCCUAAUUUAGGAAUAAUAUUGGGAAUUAGACUUUUUAUUUCCUAGUGAUGUAGUAAUUUAAACUCAGAUGCUAUGGAAUGAUUCAAUUCCUGGUCAGAGGAACACUCAAUGAAAGAGUACCAUGAUGGAAUGAAACGAACACUGAAUUGAGAGCCAAGACUGUAACAUCACAAACCGGAGAAGAUGACAUAAGGUACAAAAAAGCAAAAUGAAUAUGAGCAGUAGAAGAGCAGUUUACCUUUAUUUUUAAAGGCCUGGACAAGAGUGUUUAUGUUGCUUCAGUUUGAAUCUUAUCUGAUGAAUAAUUCAAUUCUAGGUAUGAAUUAAAGGCAUACAUGAGCUCAAAUUAUUCAGUUUUGUGGAUGUUGUUAAAUUGUUGUGGGACAAAUAUUUGUUUUGUUAAGAUGAGUUAAUGAUUUUAAUCAAUAUGAAAAUCACCUUAAAGCAUAUCUUAAUUUCAUAAUUUUUUUUCUGUAUUCACUCCCUUGUGGAUCAUUCCAUUAAAACAAUUUUUCUUAUAUUCACCAUAGCUUUAUUUAUGAUCAUAAAAAUUUCAGCAAUGGGAAAACAAUCGAUUAGAUAAUGAUGGCUUCAGUCCUUGGAAUAUUGAGCAGUCACAAAAUUUAUGAUGGUGAAGAACACAUAGUAAUAUGGUAGUCUCAUAAGAGAACAACAUGUGAGCAAGUAGCAGGCAAAGGUAUUUCAUGGGGGAGGCAGUGUGAUGUCAUGAAAAGACACUGACUUUAAACCCAAGGCAACCAGCAUCUCAAUCUCAGCUUUACCCCAUCACCAGUUGUGUGGCUUGACUCCUUGGACCUCAGUGUCCCCAUCUGUCCAAUGGAGAUAUUGUUAGCCACUCUGCAAUUUCCUUGUAAAGAUAAGAAUUAA